rnacentral:lncRNA from 1 species
CAUCAGUUACAUUGGCUACGAUACCAUCAUUUUUUAAGUGACUUCGUAAAAUCAAUCAUAAAUUCAACUAUGCUAUGUGCAAUAAAAUCUUCCUCAACAUCCUUGAAAUCGAGAUCUACAAGAUCAAUUAGGUCCCCGUCAUAUUCCUCAAUCCCCAACAUCUUUUCAGGCAAUUUCUCUUUAUGUUUGGAUUCUUGAACUUGAAGAACUUGGGACUUGCAUUCCUCUCGAUUUUUGUCAGAUUUGGCCUCGUAGGCCAGUAAAUUUGGUUAAACUUGCCCUGGUAGGGUCGGAUUUGAACUUUGUGAGGACAGUACGCGGAGGAUAUGACAGCUGUGUCAACGACGGAGGAGGUGGCAGCAGCUUCAGCGGAGGAGCAAGGCGGAGGAGGAUUGCUGUAAUUACUCAUUUCAAACUGUGAUUGACGCUAAACU